UUUUUGUAUCUUAGGUUUUGUCAGAAUCUAGAUCUGAAUUCAGAUCUGGUUGACAGAGGCCCAAGUCUUUCCUGAUACUUCUCGACAGAAUUUUCGAGAAGAUUGAACUUGGGAGUGAAAGUGCCAGGAACUAAUUAUGGAUAUUGCUCUUUUCCUAGUUCCUAUGUGGGCAUUUCAUUCCAGAACCUCAACUGACUUUUCACCUCUCGAGGUCCGCUUGAAAUGAUUCUCCACCCUCAUUACAGAUUCCGUCUUCCCCGCCCCACACAUCUCUUCUCUGUGGCCCCCAGACAGCUAAAUCUUAUGUGUAGAGGAGAAAAUGUACCCAUCUGUUCCAGAAGGAAGAACAUCCAGCCAAAAUGUGAAGAUGGGACCUAAUUCCUUAGCAGCAGAGCAGGAGGUAAGAGGAGUGGAUAUUUUUGACUAGGUAUUCCUCUCUGGGUUCUGAACACAAGUGUUUGAUCUACAUAGAACAUUCUUCCAGGG
rnacentral:lncRNA from 1 species